rnacentral:rRNA from 1 species
GAAUGGCACCACGAAGGUUACACUGUCUCCUUUCUCUAAUCAGUGAAAUUGAUUUCUCCGUGAAGAAGCGGAGAUAAAUAUAUAAGACGAGAAGACCCUAUGGAGCUUCAAACUAUUAACAAUUAUUUUUACUUAUUAAACCUUUAGGUUAUAAAAUCAACUUAAAUAUUCUGAUUAUUAGUUUUCGGUUGGGGUGACCACGGAGUAAAACCUAUCCUCCAUGAUGAAUUAGAGCCCGCCUCUAAGCAAAAAACUACAAUUUAAUGCAUCAAAAAAUUGACUCUAUUGACCCAAUAUUUGAUCAACGAACCAAGUUACCCUAGGGAUAACAGCGCAAUCCGUCUCAAGAGCUCAUAUCGACAGAUGG